rnacentral:rRNA from 1 species
UACAGAGGGUGCGAGCGUUAAUCGGAAUUACUGGGCGUAAAGCGUGCGUAGACGGUUAUUUAAGUCGGAUGUGAAAGCCCCGGGCUCAACCUGGGAAUUGCAUUCGAGACUGAAUAGCUAGGGUGCGGUAGAGGGAAGCGGAAUUUCCGGUGUAGCGGUGAAAUGCGUAGAUAUCGGAAGGAACAUCAGUGGCGAAAGCGGCAUCCUGGACCAGCACUGACGUUCAGGCACGAAAGCGUGGGGAGCAAACAGG